UACAGAGGGGGCAAGCGUUGUUCGGAAUUACUGGGCGUAAAGGGCGCGUAGGCGGCCUUCUAAGUCGAACGUGAAAUCCCCGGGCUCAACCCGGGAACUGCGUCCGAUACUGGAAGGCUUGAAUCCGGGAGAGGGAUGCGGAAUUCCUGGUGUAGCGGUGAAAUGCGCAGAUAUCAGGAGGAACACCGACGGCGAAGGCAGCUUACUGGGCCGAUACUGACGCUGAGGAGCGAAAGCGUGGGGAACGAACAGG
rnacentral:rRNA from 1 species